rnacentral:rRNA from 1 species
GAUGAACGCUAGCGGGAGGCCUAAUACAUGCAAGUCGAACGGGUGAAUUAGCUUCGGUUGGUUCACUAGUGGCGCACGGGUGAGUAACGCGUACGCAAUCUGCCCUAUGCUGGGGGAUAGCCCUGGGAAACUGGGAGUAAUACGCCAUAGAUCUGUGGAUUCGCAUGGAUUUACAGAUAAAGCUGCGGCGGCAUAGGAUGAGCGUGCGUCUGAUUAGGUAGUUGGUGAGGUAACGGCUCACCAAGCCGACGAUAGGUAGGGGGCGUGAGAGCGUGGCCCCCCACACGGGUACUGAGACACGGACCCGACUCCUACGGGAGGCAGCAGUAAGGAAUAAUUGGACAAUGGGCGGCAAGCCUCGAUCCAGCCAUCCCGCCGUGCAGGAUGACAGCCC